GACGAACGCUGGCGGCGUGCCUAAUACAUGCAAGUCGAACGCUUCUUUCCUCCCGAGUGCUUGCACUCAAUUGGAAAGAGGAGUGGCGGACGGGUGAGUAACACGUGGGUAACCUACCCAUCAGUGGGGGAUAACACUUGGAAACAGGUGCUAAUACCGCAUAACAGUUUAUGCCGCAUGGCAUAAGAGUGAAAGGCGCUUUCGGGUGUCGCUGAUGGAUGGACCCGCGGUGCAUUAGCUAGUUGGUGAGGUAACGGCUCACCAAGGCCACGAUGCAUAGCCGACCUGAGAGGGGGAUCGGCCACACUGGGACUGAGACACGGCCCAGACUCCUACGGGAGGCAGCAGUAGGGAAUCUUCGGCAAUGGACGAAAGUCUGACCGAGCAACGCCGCGUGAGUGAAGAAGGUUUUCGGAUCGUAAAACUCUGUUGUUAGAGAAGAACAAGGACGUUAGUAACUGAACGUCGCCUGACGGUAUCUAACCAGAAAGCCACGGCUAACUACGUG
rnacentral:rRNA from 1 species